GAACCGCCAGGAAGUAGUGACCAUAAUAUGAUACGUUUUAAUCUGCAAUUUGAGAGGGAGAAGGUUAAAUCAGAAGUGUCAGUGAUGCAGUUGAACAAUGGCGACCAUGAAGGCAUGUUCAAUUAGGAGGUAGUUGAGGCU